rnacentral:rRNA from 1 species
UCAGUUCGGAUUGAAGGCUGAAAUUCGCCUUCCAUGAAGCCGGAAUUGCUAGUAAUGGCAGGUCAGCAUACUGCCGUGAAUACGUUCCCGGGCCUUGUACGCACCGCCCGUCACACCAUGAGAGUUGGGAAUACCCGAAGCCUGUGAGCUAACUUUUAGAGGCAGCAGUCGAAGGUAGAAUCAAUGAUUGGGGUGAAGUCGUAACAAGGUAAC